ACCUGUGCUCUUUCGAUCUAGAAAACUGGAGCUUAGAGAUGGAAGUAACUGGGCCUAAGACUGAGUGUUAAUGAGCAAUCGGUUUUAUACAUAAACGUAGGGGAAAAACCUAAAUUAAGAUACAUCAGAGUGCUCCCAGUUGUUAUAUCUAGAUAGUAGAAUAAGUAGGGUUAUUUUUUCUUUUUGUUCAUCUAUUUUUUCUCUGAUUUGCC